CUGCAAGUUUGCUUCGUAAAAAAUACGCUGAAUCUAUAAUACAUUUUGGAAUGUCUGGAUUUGAGCGGUGACAAAUAUGUUUCUCUCGGAUGCAGACUGCAGUUGCCCAA